GCCCGAGUAGUCGAACGGCAGAGACAAACGACUCAAAAUCGUUAAUUUGUGGGUUCAAAUCCCACCUUGGGUACUA
rnacentral:tRNA from 1 species